rnacentral:sRNA from 1 species
GUUGCUACCAAAAAUCGUCACAAUUAUGGCCGAGCACUGGACAUCCGUACAAUCAACUCGGUAUUGUGGUAUAUUACUCGGUGAGUAUUAAUUUUUUGCGAAAAAAAAUUAUUUAUUGAUUUUUUUUGUUAAUUUCAAAAAAUUUUCCAAAAAAAAGCACAUGGUCAGCUGGGUAAAAACAAAAUAGGCUCAAAAUUUGGAAAAAUCUAGAAAAAUUGAAAAAAACAUUUUUUUUUGAAAUUUUUGAAAUUUUUCACAAAUUGUUUCCAAACCGAAUUUAAAUAUUUUUAAUGCAAAAUUAAAGUAUUUUACAAUUAAAAAUCUCUGCGAUAUUUUUUGAUAGAAAAAAUGUUUUAAAUUAAAACAAUUCGGACGUACUUAUGACACAUUUUUCCAACAAUGAAAAUUUCCAAAAAAAAAACUCUAAAAACUGCGUUUCAACCCAAUUCUGAGUCAUUUUUAUUCAAAAAUUCGAAUUUCCAGCAGAAUUUCGAGCUAGAAAACGUUUUUUGUCAGAAACAAAUUUUUGGCCAAAAAAAAAUUCUGAAAAAAAAAAUUUCAAAAAAAAAAAACUUUUUUUUCAAAAAAUAUUAUUUCACAAAAACUCAAUUUAGGUUUUUUUUGGGCUAUUUUUUAUGCAAAUAUUUGAAUUUCCCGCAAAAUUUCGAGCUAGAAUCGUUUUUUUUUGUCAAAAAAAAUUUUAAACAAAAAAUUUUUUUUUCAAAAAUUUUCAAAUUUCCCCCCCCCAAAAAAUUCGGCCCAAAACUCUAGUUUUUGCCCCAUUCAGAUGCUGUACCGUAGUGCGCGACGUGCCCGUCUUGUGCCAGUCGACGUGUUGUCAAGGCAACGACAGGUAUUACCUUCCCCCGCCCCCCCCCCCCCCGCACUUUUUUUCCAAUUUUUCUAACAUUUUUUCCGUCAUUUUUCGUAUUUUUCACUUAACCCCAUUUUGAAUUUUCACAAUUUUCAAAAAAAAAGUUUUAUUACACAUUCGUCGAAAAAAUCUGCUAAACUUUUCUGCGAAUGUGUAAUAUUUCAAACUUUUGGGCUAUGUUUUUACCCCUCUGACACGUGUCUUUUUAUGGUGAUGGUUUUUCGUUUAAAGAUGCAUAUAUAUAUGACUAACCUUCUUUGCUUGGUGAUUCGGAACUAUUAAAAUUUUAACAAAAACACCAAAAAACUUGAAUUUUUCGCUUUAAGCUUCUUAAUUUUAAAAUAAAAGUCUGAAAAUCAAAUUUUCCACGCUGAGACCUUUUAAAUGACCCCCAUAUCGACUAUAUUUGCUCAAUUUCUCGUAAAAAUCGAAAAAUUUGGGUCCCGCCACGAAAAUCGCACUUUAAAGGCGCAAGCGUUUUUCCAAUCAGGAAGACAAUACAAAAUUCGAUUUUUCCGUAAAAUUCUACAUCUGAAUACGUUUUUCCUGGGCGUCUAGCGGUAACUUGAAGUUUUUGAGGUUUUGGGUCUCACCACGAAGUUUUCCCGGGUUACUGUAGCCUGACAAUUUCGUGGCGAGACCCAAAAUUCUCUAAUUUAACGCUAAAAACUCAGAAAAAACUACCCGACCCAGAAUUUGACGCGGAAUUCGAAUUUCGUACUAAUUUUCCUAUUUGAAUACCCUCCUAUGUGCCUUUAAAUUUUGGGAUUUCGUGGCGGGACCCAAUUUUUUCUAAAUACAGGGAAUAUAGCCGAUAUGGGUGUCAUUUAAAAGCCCUGAACGAGAUGAUUUCCAAUUUUUGAACUAAAAAUUUGACGGAAUUUAAGUUUUUCGGAAAAUUAAAAAUUUUUGAAAAAAAAUAGUUUCGAAAAAAAAAUUUUUUUUUUUAGUUUUUUUUCUCUAACUCAUGCUUUUGCUAAUCUAUUGUGUGCUGCUAAUCUUAACCCAAGCUUCACCUAAAUUUCCACCUAAUACUCCAAAAUUUCACCAAUUUUCUCUUCCAGAAGCGAGUCAUUGACGAGUUCUUCUGCCUGACCCGAGCUCUUGCGUGCUCCCAUCCUUAUGAGGUGGCAAAGGACCGUCUGAAGCAGAGAAUUGAUGCGAUGAGGACGAAAGUUGCCAAAUAUCAGCCGGUGCUCGAUAAGGAGUCGGGAAUUGUGAAGGAGCAGGGAAAUGUGCUCCGGCGGCUGCAGAGAAUUCGACAG